rnacentral:rRNA from 1 species
UUUAUUUUUUUGUGAAAUUCUAUGUGGAUAAUAAUGCAGUCGACGAGCUCUCCCAAAUUGAUUUUAUGCUUGCAUAAAUGAUUUUUGGAUUCGGAGCGAGUGGCGAACUGGUGAGUAACACGUGGGUAACCUGCCCCGAAGCGGGGGAUAACAUUUGGAAACAAGUGCUAAUACCGCAUAAUUAGUUGGAACCGCAUGGUUCCAACUUGAAAGAUGGCUCUGCUAUCGGUUGGGGGGGGGACCCGCGCCGUAUUAGUUAGUUGGUGAGAUAAAAGCCCACCAAGACGAUGAUACGUAGCCGACCUGAGAGGGUAAUCGGCCACAUUGGGACUGAGACACGGCCCAGACUCCUACGGGAGGCAGCAGUAGGGAAUCUUCCACAAUGGACGAAAGUCUGAUGGAGCAACGCCGCUUUGAGUGAUGAAGGGUUUUCGGAUCGUAAAAACUCUGUUGUUUUGGGAAGAAGGAGAAGAUAGAAGAAACUGUUAACACUUUUGACGGAUUUAACCAGAAAGCCAACGGCUAACUACGUGCCAGCAGCGGCGGUAAUUAU